rnacentral:piRNA from 1 species
UACGAUGGAUAUUUUGUUGGU